UACGAGCGGAUCGACAGGGUUUCUAGAGGAUUAACCCCGCGGGGCCCAGAAAUCUCGCUAAUCCUCGUCGGCCCACUUGUUUCGCGGGGUUUGCGCAGCCGAAUCCCUUCGACCCCCUUCGUUCCCCUCCUAUCCACGCGGCUGGCCAGCCUCGCGGGCACCCGUGCGGAAUGGGACGCACCGAGACAGAGCGUCGCCCCGCCGCCGCCGUCCUCCUCCGCCGGUACUUCUCGAGGGCUCAGAAGACGAAAUCGAAACAACGAGAAGAACCACCUUCGGAAGAAAGAACUGGAUUACUUGGUGAGGAGGCUGCGCAGCAGGAUUCUGAGAGUGCCAGCUCUAGCACCGCGCUCAUGGGAUCUGGUCAGACAAAGAGAACCUGAGUGUAGUGCAGGCCAUGCGUGCAGGUGGCCGGCGAGGUAUGGGCGGAAAGUGGUGGAGAAGCAAGAUGAUGGUGGCCACCGCCGACCCGACCUGGAGCUGGCCCUCUUUGAUGUCGUGUGCCUUGGGGUGGUUUUACUCUUGCCUCCACGGAAAGCUGUAGCUCGACCUGGACUGGACGCCCGUGUGCUUGCAUAUAUAAUGCCAACGAUUUGUGCGAUGAUCUGCUUAGGUUGAGCCUAAGCACGCAUCGCCGCUGCGGUCGCCAUCGGAGCAGGUCAGGAGGAGUUAUCGCCUUAUCGGAGCUGAGAAGAAGCAGGCGAGCAUCGACAUCGAUCGACCAGUCCACGGAAGUGGAAUUGCUUAAUGCUAAAGGCAACGGGAACUGCAUAGUUGGCUGCAGGCUCCGCUCACUUUGCAGCAAUCAAGGAUGAAGCUCGCUCUUGGGCCAUGGCUGGAGCUAGAGGAAUGAACUUAGGGCUAGCUGUAACCUGAUCGUGUCUUUGGGGGACUAAGCAACCCUGUGUCUUCUGCUCAUCUCGUCACCACAGCGCUGCCAUUCUUGUGCAUGUCUCUGUGGUGAUCCCCUGUAAUUUCUAAACUUUCUCCCCUAUCAAUGCAAUGAUACACCAUCUAGGCAUAUUCGAGAAAAAAAAAAUAAGAUUCCGGUUGCUAAUUUGGUCA